GCCUGGGUGGCUCAGUCAGUUAAGCAACUGACUUCGGCUCAGGUCAUGAUCUCACGGUUCGUGGGUUCGAGCCCCACAUCGGGCU
rfam:Felis catus isolate Cinnamon breed Abyssinian chromosome B1, whole genome shotgun sequence.